UGAGGAAUUUUGCGCAAUGGGGGAAACCCUGACGCAGCAACGCCGCGUGGGUGAUGAAGGCCUUCGGGUCGUAAAGCCCUGUCGGGCGGGAAGAACGUCCCUUCGGGGAAUGACGGUACCGCCACAGGAAGCACCGGCUAACUCCGUGCCAGCAGCCGCGGUAAUACGGAGGGUGCAAGCGUUAUUCGGAAGUACUGGGCGUAAAGGGCGUGCAGGCGGGAGGGCAAGUCUGAUGUGAAAGCCCGGGGCUUAACCCCGGAAGGGCAUUGGAAACUG
rnacentral:rRNA from 1 species